rnacentral:rRNA from 1 species
GACGAACGCUGGCGGCGUGCCUAAUACAUGCAAGUAGAACGCUGAAGGAGGAGCUUGCUUCUCUGGAUGAGUUGCGAACGGGUGAGUAACGCGUAGGUAACCUGCCUGGCAGCGGGGGAUAACUAUUGGAAACGAUAGCUAAUACCGCAUAAGAGCAGAUGUUGCAUGACAUUUGCUUAAAAGGUGCAAUUGCAUCACUACCAGAUGGACCUGCGUUGUAUUAGCUAGUUGGUGAGGUAACGGCUCACCAAGGCAACGAUACAUAGCCGACCUGAGAGGGUGAUCGGCCACACUGGGACUGAGACACGGCCCAGACUCCUACGGGAGGCAGCAGUAGGGAAUCUUCGGCAAUGGACGGAAGUCUGACCGAGCAACGCCGCGUGAGUGAAGAAGGUUUUCGGAUCGUAAAGCUCUGUUGUAAGAGAAGAAACGAGUGUGAGAGUGGAAAGUUUCAACAACUGUGACGGAUUUUACC